rnacentral:rRNA from 1 species
UUCCGGUUGAUCCUGCCGGAGGGUUACUGCUAUCGAGGUUCGAGUUAAGCCAUGCGAGUCGAAUGUAGCAAUACAUGGCGAACUGCUCAGUAACACGUGGACAACCUGCCCUUAGGACGGGGAUAAAACCCGGGAAAACUGGGUAUAAUACCCGAUAGGUCUCGAUUGCUGGAAUGCAUCGAGAUUUAAAGCUCCGGCGCCUAAGGAUGGGUCUGCGGCCUAUCAGGUAGUAGUGGGUGUAGCGUACCUACUAGCCUACGACGGGUACGGGUUGUGAGAGCAAGAGCCCGGAGAUGGAUUCUGAGACACGAAUCCAGGCCCUACGGGGUGCAGCAGGCGCGAAAACUUUACAAUGCUGGCAACAGCGAUAAGGGAACCUCGAGUGCCAGGUUACAAAUCUGGCUGUCGAGAUGCCUAAAAAGCAUUUCAUAGCAAGGGCCGGGCAAGACCGGUGCCAGCCGCCGCGGUAACACCGGCGGCUCGAGUGGUAACCGUUAUUAUUGGGUCUAAAGGGUCUGUAGCCGGCCGGAUAAGUCUCUUGAGGAAUCUGGCAGCUUAACUGUCAGGCUUUCAGGAGAUACUGUCUGGCUCGAGGCCGGGAGAGGUGAGAGGUACUUCAGGGGUAGGGGUGAAAUCUUGUAAUCCUUGAAGGACCACCAGUGGCGAAGGCGUCUCACCAGAACGGACCUGACGGCAAGGGACGAAAGCUAGGGGCACGAACCGGAUUAGAUACCCGGGUAGUCCUAGCCGUAAACGAUACUCGCUAGGUGUCGGCCACGGUGCGACCGUUGUCGGUGCCGUAGGGAAGCCGUGAAGCGAGCCACCUGGGAAGUACGGCCGCAAGGCUGAAACUUAAAGGAAUUGGCGGGGGAGCACCACAACGGGUGGAGCUUGCGGUUUAAUUGGAUUCAACGCCGGG